ensembl:scaRNA Gm26413 small Cajal body-specific RNA 4
GCUGGAGGAGCAAGAAGGCUGAGUCUGAUGAAGCAAGACUUCGCUGAUACGCUCCCCCUAGAGAAAGAGGUGGAGGGAGCAGCCCUUCCUGGAGGAAGCCAUAGGGCUGACUGUACUGCCCGACACUU